rnacentral:rRNA from 1 species
UGGGGAAUAUUGCACAAUGGGCGCAAGCCUGAUGCAGCCAUGCCGCGUGUAUGAAGAAGGCCUUCGGGUUGUAAAGUACUUUCAGCGGGGAGGAAGGGAGUAAAGUUAAUACCUUUGCUCAUUGACGUUACCCGCAGAAGAAGCACCGGCUAACUCCGUGCCAGCAGCCGCGGUAAUACGGAGGGUGCAAGCGUUAAUCGGAAUUACUGGGCGUAAAGCGCACGCAGGCGGUUUGUUAAGUCAGAUGUGAAAUCCCCGGGCUCAACCUGGGAACUGCAUUCGAAACUGGCAGGUUAGAGUCUUGUAGAGGGGGGUAGAAUUCCAGGUGUAGCGGUGAAAUGCGUUGAGAUCUGGAGGAAUACCGGUUGCGAAGGCGGCCCCCUGGACAAAGACUGACGAUCAGGUGCGAAAGCGUGGGGAGCAAACAGG